AUAAAAUAUAUUACUUAUUAAAAAAUUUGUUGAAAAAAUGUGAUUAAAUUCUUAAGUGCAUUCUGAAAAAAUAGUAACUUGAGAAAAGGAAAUGUUUUCCUGUAAUUUUUGAGAGAGAAAAAACGAUAGUAAAAUUCACAACAUAGAGGGAAAUUAAAUGCUCGCUCUCUAUUGGAAUCACAUUACUUUCAUAUUCUAUCCUUCAAUAAAUGGUUUGGGGAGAAAAAAAGAGUAAAAAUAAAGUGAUGACAUAUUCUGACAGUAACUAUUUUAAGGAUGCAUUAAAGGUUUGUAGAUGCCUUUGGAACUUUACUGAAAAACCUAUCAACACUAGCUCUGCACAGGAAACAUACAGGUAACAGUCAGAAAAGUGUAUGUCAGAGCACCACUUGGAGAUACCCAAAACUAAAGGAGAUGGUCUGAAUACAAAACAUGAACUCUUGAAUAUUUUGUCUUCCCUUGAAUUUUCUGUAAUUAAGUAACACAGAAACUGCAAUGCUGAGAAAGGCAAAAUAACACUUUGGAAAUAACAGCACCAAACAAUCAACAUGC